rnacentral:rRNA from 1 species
GAACGCUGNCGGCAGGCUAACACAUGCAAGUCGAACGGUAACAGGAAGCACAGCUUGCUGCUUUGCUGACGAGUGGCGGACGGGUGAGUAAUGUCUGGGAAACUGCCUGAUGAUGGAGGGGGAUAACUACUGGAAACGGUAGCUAAUACCGCAUAACGUCGCAAGACCAAAGANGGGGACCUUCGGGCCUCUUGCCAUCGGAUGUGCCCAGAUGGGAUUAGCUAGUAGGUGGGGUAGUAACGGCUCACCUAGGCGACGAUCCCUAGCUGGUCUGAGAGGAUGACCAGCCACACUGGUGGAACUGAGACACGGUCCAGACUCCUACGGGAGGCAGCAGUGGGGAAUAUUGCACAAUGGGGCGCGCAAGCCUGAUGCAGCCAUGCCGCGUGUAUGAAGAAGGCCUUCGGGUUGUAAAGUACUUUCAGCGGGGAGGAAGGGAGUAAAGUUAAUACCUUU